rnacentral:rRNA from 1 species
UCGCCAGACUCCUACGGGAGGCAGCAGUGGGGGAUAUUGCACAAUGGGGGGAACCCUGAUGCAGCGACGCCGCGUGGGUGAAGAAGCGCCUCGGCGCGUAAAGCCCUGUCAGCAGGGAAGAAAAUGACGGUACCUGAAGAAGAAGCCCCGGCUAACUACGUGCCAGCAGCCGCGGUAAUACGUAGGGGGCAAGCGUUAUCCGGAUUCACUGGGUGUAAAGGGAGCGUAGACGGCCAUGCAAGCCAGGGGUGAAAGCCCGGGGCCCAACCCCGGGACUGCCCUUGGAACUGUGCGGCUAGAGUGCGGGAGGGGCAGGCGGAAUUCCUGGUGUAGCGGUGAAAUGCGUAGAUAUCAGGAGGAACACCGGCGGCGAAGGCGGCCUGCUGGACCGUAACUGACGUUGAGGCUCGAAAGCGUGGGGAGCAAACAGGAUUAGAUACCCUCGUAAA